rnacentral:rRNA from 1 species
CGCCUAACAACUAGCCUACACAGCCAACAACAACAAAAACCUUUUAAUACCCCCAAAAGCACCUACCAUAAUCAACCAAACCAUUUUUUCUCCUAAGUAUUAGCGACAGAAAAGGAUCAAAGAGCAAUAGAAGAAGUACCGCAAGGGAAAGCUGAAAGAGAAAUGAAAUUAACCCAUAUAAGCCCUAAGAAGCAGAGAUUAAACCUCGUACCUUUUGCAUCAUGAUUUAGCCAGUGAGCCCCGAGCAAAGAGAACUUUAGUUUGAUGACCCGAAACUAGUAUGAGCUACUCCAAGACAGCCUAAUUUAAGGGCGAACCCGUCUCUGUGGCAAAAGAGUGGGAAGAGCUUUGAGUAGAGGUGACAGACCUACCGAAUCUAGUUAUAGCUGGUUGCCUGGGAAUUGGAUAGAAGUUCAGCCUCCCAAAUUCUCGACUAAAACAUAUAUCCCAAAUCAAAAUACAAGCAGAAUUCGCGAGUGUUAGUCAAAGGAGGAACAGCCCCUUUGACACAAGAUACAACUUUCCCUAGCAGGGUAAAGAUCAAAAUAUUUUGAAGGUAACUAAUUUUGGUGGGCCUAAAAGCAGCCAUCCCCUUAGAAAGCGUUAAAGCUCAAAUUUACAAGACCCCCUAUAUUUCGACUACAAAAUCUAAACCCCCUAAUUUUACCAGGCCGCCCCAUGCAAGCAUGGGGGCGACCAUGCUAAUAUGAGUAAUAAGAGAGACACGUCUCUCUCCUUGCACGCAUGUAAACCGGAAUGGACCAACCACCGAAAAUUAACGUCCCCAAACAAAGAGGGCAUUGAUCUUGACAACCGCCUCACCAGAAAAACACCCAAUAAACUAACGUUAACCCCACACAGGCGUGCCCACAAGGAAAGACUAAAAAAGAAAGAAGGAACUCGGCAAACACACCAAGCCUCGCCUGUUUACCAAAAACAUCACCUCUUGAAAAAUAAAUAUAAGAGGCCCCGCCUGCCCAGUGACUUAUGUUCAACGGCCGCGGUAUUUUGACCGUGCAAAGGUAGCGCAAUAACUUGUCCUUUAAAUGGAGACUAGUAUGAAUGGCAUCACGAGGGCUUAUCUGUCUCCUUUUUUAAGUCAAUGAAAUUGAUCUUCCCGUGCAAAAGCGGGAAUAUAAACAUAAGACGAGAAGACCCUGUGGAGCUUUAGACACCAAGACAGAUCACGUUAAUAAUGCCUUAAUAAAGGCUUAAACUAAGAGAACCCUGCUCUGAUGUCUUUGGUUGGGGCGACCGCGGAGAACAAAAAAACCUCCCCUCCGCGUGGAAUGGGGGUACUAACCUAAACUUCCCCCCACAACCGAGAGUUACAACUCAAAUUAACAGGACUUUCUGACCUCUACGAUCCGGCCGAUCAGCCGAUUAACGAACCGAGUUACCCCAGGGAUAACAGCGCAAUCCCCUUUUAGAGUCCAUAUCGACAAGGGGGUUUACGACCUCGAUGUUGGAUCAGGACAUCCUAAUGGUGCAACCGCUAUUAAGGGUUCGUUUGUUCAACGAUUAAAGUCCUACGUGAUCUGAGUUCAGACCGGAGAAAUCCAGGUCAGUUUCUAUCUAUGAAGUAUUUUUUUCUAGUACGAAAGGACCGAGAAAAAGAGGCCCCUACUCCAAGUACGCCUCCUCCUCACCUAUUGAAAACAACUAAAAUAGCUAAGAGGAUAAUAUCAGCUGCACCUGAGAAAAAGGU